rnacentral:rRNA from 1 species
CGAACGAAGCACAGAUGUAGAAUUUCUUCGGAAAGGAAGCGCCUGUGACUGAGUGGCGGACGGGUGAGUAACGCGUGGGCAACCUGCCCCAUACCGGGGGACAACAGCUGGAAACGGCUGCUAAUACCGCAUACGUUUUCGGUGCCGCAUGGCGCCGAAAAGAAAACUCUGGUGGUAUGGGAUGGGCCCGCGUCUGAUUAGCUAGUUGGGAGGGUAACGGCCUACCAAGGCGACGAUCAGUAGCCGGCCUGAGAGGGCGACCGGCCACAUUGGGACUGAGACACGGCCCAGACUCCUGCGGGAGGCAGCAGUGGGGAAUAUUGCACAAUGGGGGAAACCCUGAUGCAGCGACGCCGCGUGAGCGAAGAAGUACCUCGGUAUGUAAAGCUCUAUCAGCAGGGAAGAAAGUGACAGUACCUGACUAAGAAGCCCCGGCUAACUACGUGCCAGCAGCCGCGGUAAUACGUAGGGGGCAAGCGUUAUCCGGAUUCACUGGGCGUAAAGGGAGCGCAGGCGGCGCGGCAAGUCUGAUGUGAAAGCCCGGGGCUCAACCCCGGGUCUGCAUUGGAAACUGUCGAGCUGGAGUGUCGGAGGGGUAAGCGGAAUUCCUA